rnacentral:lncRNA from 1 species
UAAGGUUUAUUUAUUUAAUUUUUUUUAUUUCACAAAAAUAUAUCUUUAAAAGAAGAUUUUUAAUAAUCUUUAUGGUAACACAAUAAGAACUGUAGUAACAAGUAAUAAAAUAAUACAUUCUUACACCAUCUGUAAGAAUACCGUAUAUAAACAGACACUGGUCAUAUAAAAUGUAAGUUUGUUAUAAUUCUAAAUUGACAAACAGAAUAAACAAAAGUGGCACAUUAUGCUCACAAUGUUAUAAAAACAUAAUGAAAUAAUAAAAAAACAAUUUUAUUUAAACUAUGUACAAUUAUUUACAAAUAAAAAUGAAUACAUUUAAAUACCAUUGGAGCAGAAAGUUUGCGCCUAUCCCCUUAAAAAAGCACUUGUAAAAUGGCCAAAAUGGGGAAUAUAAAUAUAAAUAAAAAAGUGUAAGGACAAAAAAAUUAAAUGUUACUCCAUUAGCUUCGAGGGAACUACUCACUGAAUAUUAAACUAUUCAAUCAUUUUUCUGUCUAGAUUUCCAAGAAUAUAGAGUCUAGGUGCCCAAAAGAUUAAUUUCUGAACUUAAUUUGUUUAGAAGUUACCAACUUCUUUUUUACAUUAUUUAAUGCGCGAAUAUCCUUAACGGGUAAAAUUAAUGCGCAACUAAGUCAUGAUAUUUUAUAAAAUUCCUCAUUCCUCAAUAUGCACAUGUUAAGGCACAUAAAAACUUUUUGCGGUCGAGAAUGAACUCGUUAUGUUAAUAUAGUCUAAGAGCUAGAGCCGAAAAAUCAUCGUCAUAAGUAAUUUGGAGUUGCAUGUGAAAUGUGUCUAUUGUAUAUUGAUAAUUAUGACUCCUUUCAGGCUGACACCUC